rnacentral:rRNA from 1 species
GGACUACCCGGGUAUCUAAUCCUGUUUGAUCCCCAUGCUUUCGCAUCUCAGUGUCAGUACUGGACCAGUGAGCCGCCUUCGCCACCGAUGUUCCUCCUGAUAUCUACGUAUUUUACCACUACACCAGGAAUUCCGCUCACCUCUUCCGUACUCAAGCUUGGCAGUUUCAAGUGCACGUCCUGGGUUAAGCCCAGGGAUUUCACACCUGACUUUUCAAGCCACCUACAUGCGCUUUACGCCCAAUGAUUCCGAACAACGCUAGGGACCUUCGUAUUACCGCGGCUGCUGGCAC